UACGGCCAAAUCACGUUUAAACACCGGCUCCCUCACGGUCACUGAAGUUAAGCAACGUCGAGCCUGGUUCGUACCUAAAUGGGAGACCGCUUGGGAAUUCUAUGAGUUGUAAG